rnacentral:lncRNA from 1 species
GCUGCAGCCGCUGGCCCGAAAAUGCUGCUCGGGCGAGCAGGGGUCAGGCGGGAAAAGAAGACUCCAAAUCCACUCUCUGCUCGUCCCCAGGGCAAUGCUGCCAGGAGAGGGAGUGGGUUCCCCCGCAGGCUAUCCCACCGAUGGGGCUGAGAGCUUAAUUUGGGGUUUUAUUUGAAUUGGAGACGUUGUUCCCUCUUCGCUCCUCUACCCCAUAAAAUUCCCUACAAAUGCAAAAAUUCGAGAUAGAAGAAGCCGUCCCUGAAAGUAAGUUCUGAAGGAUUCCUUUCAUGCGGUGAAGGAACAACAACAAUAUUCAACUUCGCCUUGUUGCUGUCUAACAUUCACCGGAAACCUCUCCAUAAACAAGGAGAAACGAACGCACACACAUUUUUGCUAAGAAGCCCGGGAUUAAGAUUAAGGAUACAAGCUGAAAGAAAAAAUGAAAAAUGCUUCUCCGCGCGUCAGUCGAGGGGUGGAUGCGCCACGCAGCGUGAGCCCAGCUCACAGCCACGCGUAAGACCAAAAGCUGCCAUGGGUUCUGCGCGCGGAGACCUCAGAGCCGAAGAGAGAAGUCCCCGCGACAGAAACGCUGCGGAUGCCAGGUCUUGAAAAUGCUGACUUCUGAGGCUAAGAAUUAUUUCAAAGACAAAAAGAAAAGACUGGUGAGGAGGCCUUCCGGUGCAAGGGCGCCUAUCCGCUAAUUUUGGUUGGGGAAGUAGGGAUUAUUCGUUUAAAUUCAAUCGCCAGCACCAAGUCGGACUGGCCGGGGAUGGAGAAGGGCAACCCCCACCUUUAGAAAAAUAAAAGAUCUCGAAGGCC